UACCAGCACCCCGAGUGGUCGGGACGAUUAUUGGGCCUAAAGCAUCCGUAGCCGGCCUUACAAGUCCUCCGUUAAAUCCAGCUGCUUAACAGAUGGGCUGCGGAGGAUACUAUAAGACUAGGAGGCAGGAGAGGCAAGCGGUACUCAGUGGGUAGGGGUAAAAAUCCGUUGAUCCAUUGAAGACCACCAGUGGCGAAGGCGGCUUGCCAGAACGCGCUCGACGGUGAGGGAUGAAAGCUGGGGGAGCAAACCGG
rnacentral:rRNA from 1 species